rnacentral:misc_RNA from 1 species
AAUAUUCAUCAACCAUGUCUGGAUUCAUUUCCAGCCAUGGCUUGGACUUGGGAGUUGCCGGUCGUCAUGAUCGGCUCUCCUUAAAUGCAUUAGCAGAGGGGGUCGAGCUUUUUAGUCUUCUUUGGCGUGCACGGCUCUGGGCGUGAUAGUGAAUGGAUCGUCCUGGCUGGAGCGUCGAAGAAAUAUAGACUAUGCUUUUCCUGUCCUUUGCUUCUAAUCUUAUGAUUGGUCAUCUGAUCAGACAAGACUUUUAAGCUUACUAGUCGAGACGAACGCGGUCAUCCAUGAUGGCUUAGCUAUUAGUCGAGACGAAAUGCUGAGAGUCUUUGAAGGGAAAGAUGGUUCGAGACUCUUAUUUGAAAC